CAGUCGCCGCGGUAAUACGUAGGUGGCAAGCGUUGUCCGGAAUUAUUGGGCAUAAAGGGCUCGCAGGCGGUUUCUUAAGUCUGAUGUGAAAGCCCCCGGCUCAACCGGGGAGGGUCAUUGGAAACUGGGAAACUUGAGUGCAGAAGAGGAGAGUGGAAUUCCACGUGUAGCGGUGAAAUGCGUAGAGAUGUGGAGGAACACCAGUGGCGAAGGCGACUCUCUGGUCUGUAACUGACGCUGAGGAGCGAAAGCGUGGGGAGCGAACAGGAUUAGAUACCCCGGUAGUCCCUGUCUCUUAUAC
rnacentral:rRNA from 1 species